rnacentral:lncRNA from 1 species
AGCAUUUGACAAGCUUGAGUGGUCAGUUUUUAAUCAAGUAAACAUUUUUAAAAUGUUUCAAGGAUACAGAAGUGGAAAAUGAGUUUUAAAAAGCAGUGGCCUUGACAAGUUUUCCGAAGAAGUUUAUUUCCGAUUGAAGCUAUUUGCUGGAUCCACUUUUGUCUUCCUAGAUUGAGAGGAAAAUUCUUUGCUGACACACACGGAAACAUCUCCUUUCAUUGAAGACGUGUUUAUCUGCCCCAGCAAAUUGUUGACCUCAACCUCAAGGACAGCAGUGAUUCAAUUGUAUGAAUAGGCUGUAUUAUUUUGCCCCAUAACAGGAGAUAUCUCCUUAGUGUGAUUCAUCCCAACUGUGCUACACCUUAUCUUAAAAGAGUGUGAAUUUCUUCUGUCAUUUCUCUGCCCUUUGAAAUAGAGAAACAUCUGCAGAAACUGCAGCAGGUACAUCCUCCAGGGAAAGAAGAGUGAAAAUUCAUGACAAGACUGAAAUUGCAAUUAACCGGAUGAUUGGUUCCCACAAAGAACGAAGAUAAAAGAGGAAUAUCAGGCCAAUUACCUGGUGUUGAGUCUACA